UACGGGGGGUGCGAGCGUUGUCCGGAAUCACUGGGCGUAAAGGGCGCGUAGGUGGUUUGAUAAGGGUGUGGUGAAAGUCCGGGGCUCAACCCCGGAUCUGCCGUGCCGACUGUCAAACUCGAGGGCUGUAGAGGCAGACGGAAUUCAGGGUGUAGCGGUGGAAUGCGUAGAGAUCCGGAGGAAGACCGGUGGCGAAGGCGGUCUGCUGGGCAGUUUCUGACACUGAGGCGCGACAGCGUGGGGAGCAAACAGG
rnacentral:rRNA from 1 species